CCUACGGGUGGCUGCAGUAGGGAAUAUUGGACAAUGGGCGCAAGCCUGAUCCAGCCAUCCCGCGUGAAGGAUUAAGGCCCUCUGGGUUGUAAACUUCUUUUCUUUGGGAAUAAAAACUCCGAUUCAUCGGAGCUUGAAGGUACCAGAGGAAUAAGAACCGGCUAACUCCGUGCCAGCAGCCGCGGUAAUACGGAGGGUGCAAGCGUCAUCCGGAUUCACGGGGGCGUAGGGGUGCGUAGGAGUCUGUGUUGAAAGCCCGGAGCUCAACUCCGGAACUGCCAUUGAUACUGCUUAGCUUGAAUCAGGUCGAGGUGGAUGGAAUAUUACAUGUAGCGGUGAAAUGCUUAGAUAUGUAAUAGAACACCGAUUGCGAAGGCAGUUCACUAGGCCUGUAUUGACACUGAGGCACGAAAGCGUGGGGAUCAAACAGGAUUAGAUACCCCAGUAGUC
rnacentral:rRNA from 1 species